rnacentral:lncRNA from 1 species
UUUGCUCUGGGCCCAAGAAAGAGGAAGCUACAAGCCGGUGCCACACCCCACCCCACACAUCCGUCCCUUCAACCGCUGGCAAAUAACAGGCUUGGGCUUGGUGGCUCUCGGGGGAUUUCCGAAGCCUGACAGGACGUGUUUGCUAGGUGGCUUUGCUCGCUCUGGAGCCAGGGGCCCCUGCUUGUGUCUGGGCUUCAACUUCCUGUGGGAGCCUUUACGUGGACGUGCAGCACACGGGUGAAUCCAGAGACGGGAACGGCGCGGGGCAGGUGCCGUCCCUGGGGACUGUCUGGGAUUCCUGCUGCUGUGGGUGCCCCCGUCACCAUGCCUGGUAAAGCCUCGGCUGCACAGGUGUUUUCACCGUGAUGACAACAGGUGCCCUCCUCCGCCACCAUCGCUGAUUCCAGGCCAGAGCCGUGCGAGGACCAGGGAGGUGAAUCUGACCCGGCGGCGUUGUGUCUCCUGGGAAAUCGAGGCUUGGGAGAAAUCACUGGGAUUGGCCCCCUUGGAAGGACCACAGCACAAAACAGGGGCUCACCCACCCAGUGAGGCACAGCCGUUGACACACCUUGGACCGCCUUGUCUGAGCAAGAUGGCAGCGGAGCG